rnacentral:rRNA from 1 species
AUACGGAGGGUGCGAGCGUUAUCCGGAUUUAUUAGGUUUAAAGGGUGUGUAGGCGGGAGCCUAAGUCAGUGGUGAAAUCUCACAGCUUAACUGUGAAACUGCCAUUGAAACUGGGUUUCUUGAGUAUAGUUGAGGUAGGCGGAAUGUGUAAUGUAGCGGUGAAAUGCAUAGAUAUUCCACAGAACACCGAUUGCGAAGGCAGCUUACUAAGCUAUUACUGACGCUGAUGCACGAAAGCGUGGGUAGCGAACAGGAUUAGAAACCCGAGUAGUCC